rnacentral:lncRNA from 1 species
GUCAAAUGUUUUUAAUUUUAUUUGUCUUUCAAACUUCUAUUCAAGUAGCCCCUUUGUCUCCUACUUGUACUAUAAAUAAGUGUUUCAUUUCAUGAAUAAAAUCAGAUCAUUUUGGAUUAAGUUUUUGAGUUUAAACUCUCUGUUCUCUUUAGAACUUGUUUUCGAUUGUCUUCGUGUGUCAUAUCCGAGCAAUUCACUUCUCAACUAGUUGGUCUUGUGAGUCAUAUCAAGCAACCAGUUCGAGAUCUUCCUUGGCGGACUUGUGAGUCAUAUCAAGCGCCAUUUAAGCCGGGAAUAUCAAGGGAACAUCCGCAACCCUUGUGCGACCCUUCACUCCAUCAGUUCUCCUUUCCGGAGUUCAUAUCCAAACGAAUCCAGUCGAGGGCAAUCCGAUCUUAGGGUCCUUCAAGUGGUAUCAGAGCCCACUCGUCUGGUAUUCUCUAUCUCGAUCUCGAUCCAUCUUCUCAUAUUCCAUUUCUUCUAAACACUUCUUCAUCUGUCUAUCUUGAAUCCGGGCCCCUCAUUACCAUCCACUUAAAAAAAAAAAAAAAAAAAGCAAAGAAACAAGCAAGAUCCGUAUUUAAAAAAAAAAAAAAGAGUUUACUUUGUGGAUUGGUGGUGGAAGAGGAAGCCUGUUGGCUGAGGAGAAAUCCAGCCUUUGAGGAGGUUAAAACUGAUUCUUUUAAAAAAACAAAUCUCUUAUCUUUCUAUCUUUUAAAAUUCCCGUGUGUUUUGCUUGAGUUUGGCCAUCCAGAUUCCGAGAUCUGUUCUUCAUAGAACUUUGAGUGGAAACUUGAGUGAUCACUUUUAAAUCGAGAGAAACACGUGUGUGGGUAAGGAACAAACACUUGAGAGUGUGAGUUUUAAUUCUAACGUUUUGUGUUUAAGAAAUUUCAGGAACCAUGAGUAGCCACGAAGAUCAAAACCGUCCUGGAAAUUCAGUUGCUGGACUGUCUAAUCUUCAGAUGCGAGCUUUGAAUGAUUCUUUUUCUAAUCUUAUAAACACAGGUCUAGAGCAGAUCCAUCAAAGGCUUGACGAACUUCAAGUAAGCCAAUCCCAUCCUAGAUUGGGAACAAGAACCAAUCAGCCGUGAAGGAACACCCGGUCAGAUGAUGAGUUUCCUGAUGAGGACGCCCAAGAGGACGAGGUCAGAACCGCUUACCGGCCAAGAAGAGGUCAUAGAACUCGAAACCCAGGUGAUGUCAAUCCAUUUGCUAGAAACAAUCGUACUGAUGAUAGCUUGAACGGAUUGAAAUUAAAAAUUCCACCUUUUGAUGGUAAAAACGGCCCUGAUGCUUUUCUAGAGUGGGAAAGAAAAAUUGAGCAUCUCUUUGAUUGUCAAAACUAUUCUGAACUUAGAAAAGUAAGGCUUGCUGCCACUGAAUUCUCUGGCUAUGCUAUUAACUGGUAUGAUCAAGUGUUGACCCACAGGAGGAGAACAGGUGAACGGCCGAUUGAGACAUGGGAUGAGCUUACCUUGUUGAUGAGGAAACGAUUCGUGCCAACCCAUUAUCACCGCGACCUCCACCAGAAGCUAAGACGUUUGCUUCAAGGAACCAAAUCUGUGGAAGACUAUUAUCAAGAGAUGGAAGUUUUGAUGACCAAAACGGACACGGAUGAACCUUUGGACGCCACUAUGGCUCGCUUUCUUUCAGGCCUCAACCGUGACAUCCAAGAUCGUAUGGAGCUUCAAGAGUAUGGAAGUGUGGAACAGAUGCUACACAAAGCCAUCUUGAUCGAGCAACAACUUAAGAGAAGGAGUUUCUCAAAACCGGCCACUACUUCUAAGCCGGCCUACUCUCCUAAACCGGCCUAUGCUCCUAAGCCAAGCUAUCAAGACAAAGGUAAGUCACCUAUCACAACACAUACUGCCUUUAAAACUGAUAUUUCCACUCGUGAUGACAAAGGAAAAGCAGUAGACGCCUCAAGCCGAGCAAGAGACAUUAGGUGUUUCAAAUGUCAAGGGCUAGGACAUUAUGCCAAGAACUGUCCAAACCAGCGUGUGAUGAUUCUCUUGGAGAAUGGUGACGUUGAGUCCGAGGAUGAACAAGAAGACAAGGAGGAUCUUGGUCCUAUCUUUGAUGAGGAAGAGGAGUCCUUUGACUACCCACAUCACGGACCAUUGCUUGUUGCUAGGAAGGUUUGGGACGAUCCUAUCUUCGAUGAGACGGACGGCCACGCGAACGGCCACAUGGACAACGACCUCGACCCAAUCUUUGAUCCAGAUUCUGAACCGAUCUUUGAUGAGGAAGAUAGCUUUGACUACCCAGCUCACGGACCACUACUGGUCACUAGACGUUCCUUGAGUGUUCAGCCCAAAACCAAUGAAAAGGAACAAAGGGAGAAUCUCUUUCAUUCUCGUUGUUUAAUCUCUGAAAAAGUUUGUUCUUUAAUCAUUGAUGGUGGGAGUUGUACUAAUGUUGCUACUGAUAUUCUUGUUAGGAAACUAGGUCUAGCUACUCGACCUAUUUCUCGUCCUUUCAGGUUGGAAUGGCUCAAUGAAACUGGUGAACAGUAUGUUAAGGAGCAAGUCACGAUCCCUCACACCAUUGGACGUUAUGAAGACGAGGUUGUGUGCAACGUUCUCCCCAUGGAUGCUUGUCACGUCCUGUUAGGACGUCCAUGGCAGUUUGACAAAAGGACCGUCCAUGAUGGAUACACAAACCAACACUCCUUUGACCAUAAAGGAAAGAAGAUCACGCUUGUACCUCUCUCGCCUUUGGAGGUCCAUCAAGACCAGCUCCAACUCAAAAAGAAUCGUGAACAAGAGUCCAAACCGGACAAACCUGAAUCUUCAAUCCGGAACUCCAACUUCUUUAUCAAACAAAGUCAGGUUAAGAAGUCUCUUUACUCUCAAAAGCCUUUUCUUCUACUCGUGUAUAAAGAAUCUCUGAUGGCUUCUACUUCUUCUAACCUUGCACCGGAAGUUCCGAGUGAUUUGCUAGAUGUCUUGCAGGAGUUUUCUGAUGUCUUUCCAGAUGAGAACCCAAAGGGUUUGCCACCAGUGCGUGGAAUUGAACAUCAGAUUGACUUUGUUCCGGGUGCAUCUCUACCUAACCGGCCAGCUUCAGAACCAAUCCGGUGGAGACCAAGGAACUUGAGAAACAAAUUGGAGACCUUAUGGAGAAAGGUUACAUCAGGGAAAGCCUCAGUCCUUGUGCCGUACCAGUUCUACUUGUCCCAAAAAAGGAUGGAUCAUGGCGCAUGUGUGUGGACUGCCGUGCCAUCAACAACAUUACGGUAAAGUAUAGGCAUCCCAUUCCUAGACUAGACAACAUGUUUGAUGAACUUUACGGCUCAUGUGUCUUUUCUAAGAUAGAUUUGAAAAGUGGCUAUCACCAAAUCCGAAUGAAAGAAGGUGAUGAAUGGAAAACUGCAUUUAAAACCAAGCGAGGAUUGUAUGAAUGGUUAGUCAUGCCAUUUGGUCUUACUAAUGCACCUAGCACUUUCAUACAAUUGAUGAACCAUAUCUUGGGAGCAUUCAUUGGUCAUUUUGUGGUAGUUUACUUUGAUGAUAUUCUUAUCUACAGCAAGAACAUGGAUGAACAUAAUAAACACUUGAAAUCUGUCCUUGAAGUUUUUAGAAAGGAACAUUUGUUUGCUAACCUUGGAAAGUGUUCUUUUGGCACAGAUCAUGUGGUUUUCUUAGGUUUCGUUGUAGGUGCUGAAGGACUCCGAGUGGACGAGGAGAAAAUCAAAGCCAUCCGAGACUGGCCAAUUCCAACAAACGUGAGUGAGGUAAGGAGCUUCCAUGGCCUUGCCGGAUUCUAUCGACGGUUUGUCCAAGACUUCAGUACCAUAGCAGCUCCCUUGACCGAAGUCAUUAAAAAGAAUGUUGGGUUCAAAUGGGAACAAGCUCAAGAGGAAGCUUUCCAAAUCCUAAAAGGGAAGUUGACUAACGCCCCUUUACUUGUUCUUCCUGAUUUUUCUAAAACGUUUGAGAUCGAAUGUGAUGCCUCGGGUGUUGGUAUUGGUGCAGUUUUGAUGCAGGAUAGGAAUCCCAUUGCUUAUUUCAGUGAGAAGCUUAGUGGCUCCACACUCAACUACCCAACUUAUGAUCAAGAGCUGUAUGCUCUGGUGAGAGUCCUUCAAACGUGGCAACACUAUCUUUGGCCUAAGGAAUUCGUUAUCCACACGGAUCAUCAGUCCCUGAAACACCUUAAGGGCCAACAGAAGCUGAACAAGAGGCAUGCCCGCUGGGUUGAGUUCAUUGAGACAUUUCCUUAUGUCAUCAAAUACAAGCAAGGUAAGGAAAACGUUGUGGCUGAUGCUUUGUCCCGAAGGUAUACUCUUAUUUCAGCCCUUGAAACAAAACUUCUUGGUUUUGAAUUUAUCAAAGACUUGUAUGCUUCUGAUCCGGAUCUUAAAGAAAUUUUCAACAAGUGUUCCCGAGUGGCUUAUGGUAAAUACUAUCAGAAUUCUGGUUUUCUUUUCUAUGAUAACCGUUUGUGUGUGCCCCAAUGUUCUUUGAGGGAGUUGUUUUUCAGGGAAUCUCAUGGAGGAGGUCUUAUGGGACACUUUGGAAUCAAGAAGACAUACAAGGCCGUGUCUGAUCAUUUCUAUUGGCCUAGUUUGAUGAAGGACGUUGAGAGAAUUUGUGGCCGAUGUGUGGUGUGCAAGAAGUCCAAAGCCAAAGCAUCCAGUCACGGUUUGUACUCGGCCUUACCCAUUCCUUCUCAUUCUUGGAUUGAUAUUUCUAUGGAUUUUGUUCUUGGUUUGCCUAGAACUAAGAAUGGCUGAGACUCUAUCUUUGUGGUUGUAGAUAGAUUUUCGAAAAUGGCUCACUUUAUUCCUUGCCAUAAAACUGAUGAUGCUGUACAAGUUGCUGAUCUGUUCUUUAGGGAAAUUGUGAGAUUGCAUGGAAUGCCUAAGACCAUUGUUUCUGAUCGUGAUGCUAAGUUUCUUAGUUAUUUUUGGAAAACUUUGUGGUCUAAGUUAGGAACGAGAUUGAUGUUUUCCACAACUUGUCAUCCGCAAACUGAUGGUCAAACUGAAGUUGUUAAUCGAACUUUGUCUGCUUUGCUUAGAUCUUUGGUCAAGAAAAAUCUUAAGUCUUGGGAAGAUUGCUUGCCUCAUGUUGAGUUUGCUUAUAAUCAUGCUGUGCAUUCAGCUACAAAGUUCUCUCCUUUUGAAGUUGUUUAUGGUUUUAACCCCUUAUCUCCACUUGAUCUUUUACCUUUGCCUUUGAGUGAAAGAGUUAGUACAGAUGGUAAAAGAAGGGCGGACACUAUCAAGAAGCUUCAUGAACAAGUUCGAGUCAACAUUGAAACCAAAACCGAGGGUUACAAAAGAUAUGCCAACAAGAAGCAAAAAGAGUUGGUUUGGGUUCAUUUGAGGAAGGAACGAUUUCCGGAAGAAAGGAAGUCCAAACUGAUGCCUAGAGUCGACGGUCCAUUCCAGAUUCUUAGAAAGAUCAAUGAUAAUGCUUAUCAGCUUGACUUGGAAGGUAAGUAUGAUAUCUCUUCAAGUUUUAAUGUUGCUGAUCUAUCUCCUUUUCUUGCAGAUGAUCAAGAUUUGUGGACAAAUCCUUUUGAAGAGGGAAGGAAUGAUGUGCCUCAGUCCGAGGAACCCGACCAUCAGGUAGAUCAGGACAUCCCAACCGAGGUUCAUCAUCCCAGCCGAACCAGUCAGCAAGGCCGAGCUGUGUACCGGAUCGAUCCACGGAUGGACGGACAGGAGCUUAGACUGGAUCCUCGACCGUUCGACCAAACUAACUGUACCAGAUCAUCUCUCUCCCGGACAACUCGCAAUCUCAGACGGACGGUCAAGUCGUACAAGGAACUGGACGCGACUUCUCUCUUCUCGCCCGUUUGGAACGUACCGACCGUAUUGACGAACUGAUCGAUCCAUUUGAUCAGUUCAUGCACUUUGAUCAUCCGAAUCUCUCUAAGGCACAUAUUCUUCAUCUUUCAGAAGACUUCGGACGAUUAUGGUCGAAGAUGGUUCAGGAAACGGACAAGUCGAAAUAGACAGACCGGCCCGCGACCGUCCUGCUCCUUGCCGCGGUUCAACCAGUCGAACACAAGCCAGCAGAAGGGUCACUUUGACCAGGCCGCAAAUUGAAGAGUCUUUCUUCUUUGUCUUUCAAAAUUCUAGUCAAAUGUUUUUUAAUUUUAUUUGUCUUUCAAACUUCUAGUCAAGUAGCCCCUUUGUCUCCUACUUGUACUAUAAAUAAGUGUUUCAUUUCAUGAAUAAAAUCAGAUCAUUUUGGAUUAAGUUUCUGAGUUUAAACUCUCUGUUCUCUUUAGAACUUGUUUUCGAUUGUCUUCGUGUGUCAUAUCCGAGCAAUUCACUUCUCAACUAGUUGGUCUUGUGAGUCAUAUCAAGCAACCAGUUCGAGAUCUUCCUUGGC